CAGUCGCCACGGUAAAACGAAGGGUGCAAGCGUUACUCGGAAUUACUGGGCGUAAAGCGUGCGUAGGUGGUUGUUUAAGUCUGCUGUGAAAGCCCUGGGCUCAACCUGGGAAUUGCAGUGGAUACUGGGCGACUAGAGUAAGGUAGAGGAUAGUGGAAUUUCCGGUGUAGCAGUGAAAUGCGUAGAGAUCGGAAGGAACAUCUGUGGCGAAGGCGACUAUCUGGGCCAUUACUGACGCUGAGGUACGAAAGCAUGGGGAGCAAACAGGAUUAGAUACCCGCGUAGUCCCUGUCUCUUAUAC
rnacentral:rRNA from 1 species